rnacentral:rRNA from 1 species
UCGUUGUAGCAAUACGAUGGAAAGUUUAGUGGCGAACGGGUGCUUAACACGUGGGCAACCUGCCAGGAAGUGGGGGAUAGCUCGCCGAAAGGCGAAUUAAUACCGCAUGUGGUUAGAGAGGACAUCCUUUCGAAAUUAAAGUCGGGGCAACCUGACGCUUUUUGUGGGGCCCGCGGCCUAUCAGCUAGUUGGUGAGGUAACGGCCCACCAAGGCUUUGACGGGUAGCUGGUCUGAGAGGACGACCAGCCACACUGGGACUGAGACACGGCCCAGACACCUACGGGUGGCAGCAGUCGAGAAUUUUUGACAAUGGGGGAAACCCUGAUCGAGCGACGCCGCGUGGAGGAUGAGGGUCUUCGGAUUGUAAACUCCUGUCAUUGGGGAACAAUGCACAGAUAUUAACUGUAUUUGUGUUGAUAGUACCCGAAGAGGAAGAGACGGCUAACUCUGUGCCAGCAGCCGCGGUAAUACAGAGGUCUCAAGCGUUGUUCGGAUUCAUUGGGCGUAAAGGGUGCGUAGGCGGCGCGGUAAGUCGGGUGUGAAAUCUUGGAGCUUAACUCCGAAGCUGCAUUCGAUACUGCCGUGCUUGAGGACUGGAGAGGAGACUGGAAUUCACGGUGUAGCA